rnacentral:lncRNA from 1 species
AAACACUAAUAGCUGAGCAUAAAUGGGCCCUAUUCUCAUAGCUUUUCACUACUUGUAAGCACUAAUUUCGGAACAUCUAGUAGCUAUUAUUUUUAAAUGAAUUUUUAAAAUAUUUUGUAUUUAUUAAAAAAAUUAUUAUUUUUUUAAAAAAGGCCUCUUUUAAUGAAUUCGCCUUAGGCCCCCAAAUAUAUUGAGCCGCC